GGGAGAGGCAGCCCGUGGCCUGGAGCAGUGGAGGUGUUAACCACCGAAGGGAGGUAGAAUGUUUUUCCCCACCAGAGGAGGCAGCGACCACGUCUCCUCUAUGGAGGCAUUCAAGAGCCGUCCAGCUGAAGCAGCAUCACUGUCUGAGCUCGGAAGGCACAAUCCACAUAGGUCUGCAUGGUCCACCGAGCUGCAUACCCACGGGGCCAGCGGGAGGUGGGCAGCUGCUGGGCUCUCUUCUGAAGCAGACAGGAUCUCACUCUGUUGCUGAGGCUGGAUCACAGCUCCCUGCAACCUUGAACUCUCCCUCAAGCAAUUCUCCCCACUCUGCCUUCCAAAGCACUAGCAUUAUAGGCCUAAGCCACCACUCCCAUCCACUGUAGUGUAAACUGUCUCCUUCAAUGUUUCCAAUAGUUGCGGAGCAGAUCAGAUAAGGGUUCUUCCUGUCUGUUGCUUCAAGUUUCAUUCUCUCUUUAAACAAUACAAGGUUGGCUUCCAUGGUUCCUUCUUAAAGAAUGUUGAAGGUGUGUCUUCAGAUUCAUUUAGUGUUCGUGGAACCCCAGGGAAAGCUGAUGUAAAAACCUCUUUUUUCUCCCAUAUGUCUCAAAAAGUUGUAUUUUCUGGGUCCAAGGGAUCUGCAAGCCUCCUAAAGGCAUUUCCAUUGUCACUACCACCAGGUGUGAACUGUAAUCUGGCACGUAUAGUUCCAAGAACUGUCAUAAUAGAUGCUGAAGAAACAUUGUGAAGUUAACUCGCUGUUACCAACUGUGAAGUCAUUAGCUAGAGGAAUCUUGGGCGGUCUGAAAUCUGAGAUACUGUGGAAAGAACAGAAAGAUCCUGUAUCUUUCCUAUAAUUGUUCUACUGGAAGUUGUCAUUUUACACAGGAGACAUUCUGUUUUAUUUAUUUUCUUUUGAGACAGGGUCUCACUCUGUCGCCCAGGCUGGAGUGCAGUGUUGUUACCACAGGUCACUGGUGCCUCCACUGCCUGAGGACUGCUCAAGCAAUCCUCCUGCCUCAGUCCCCUGAGGAGCUGGGGCCACAGGCCUGCACCACCAUGCCUGGCUAAUUAUUUUUAUUUGUAGAGACAAAGUCUAUCUUGCCUAGGCUGAUCUCGAACUCCUGGGCUCAAGUAAUCCUCCCGCGGUGGCUUCUCAAAGUGCUUGGGAUUACAGAUGUAAGCUACCAUGCCCGGCCUCACAGGAGACAUUUUUGAUGUCCCUCUUGACAGUCUACAAAAGUCUACAAAUCUUUUUUUUUUUUUUUUUGAGACAGGGUCUUGCUCUGUCACCCAGUCUGGAAUGCAGUGGUGCCAUCAUAGCUCACUACAGCCUGAGCUGUACUGAGCUCGAGGGAUCUUCCCGUCUCCGCCUCCUAAGCAGCUGGGACUACAGGUACUUGCCCCCAGGCCCAGAUAAUUUAUUUAAAAACUUUUUUUGUAGAGACAGGGUCUCACUAUGUUGCCCAGGCUGGUCUCAAACUCCUGGCCUCAAACAAUCCUCUACCUCAACCCCCCUAAGUGCUGGCAUUACAGGCAUCAGCUGCCAUGCCUGGCUACAAAUCUUAAUGUUUUCCCCAUGGCUUCUUUUUCUGGCGUUCUUUUCUCAGGUAAUGGAAGUGGGCAGAGAAUGAUCCUUUCCCUAGGCUCCAGUGUGUAAGAAUUAAAGAAAGAGGAAAGAAACACAAUGGCUUGAUGGUCGAGGACAGGUUUAUUUUAAAGAAAACAAACCCAAGAGUGGCUUCUGGCUGAGUUAGAUCAGAGGCAUGCUCUCUUACAGACUAAGAGUUUUUAAGGAUUCAGGGUGGGAGAGUUUAUCAGAGGCUUGGACUGCUUCUGUGUCUCUUUAGGUGUGCUUAUCUGGGAGGGAGUUGUGUGUCUGUUUCCAUACAUCUUCCUGCAGCUGCAGGCAUACCCCCAGGUCUGCUUUUAGCUUCCCUAUCUUAGUGCACCUGAAGGGAAAGAAUGUGCUUAUUAAGGCCCACUGUUAUACUGGGGCCCAAUGUAUGAGGGUGAAGUUUGGCAAUUACCCAAGAGACUUUCCCCCCACCUCCCUCUGUGCCUGAGCUGUCUCAUCUAUGUUUUACUGUCUGCUCUUUCUGUCUGCUUGUUGUUAGAAGAGAAGUGAUUUUCUUGAAAUGCAUGAGGCUGGAAAGGGAGCUGGCACUUAAAGUGGCGGUGUUUGUCCGAGAGGAUGGUGCUCCUGCUCUGUCACAGUGGGCAUGGGGAUUCAGGCCACUGCCACCGAAUUUCAAGAGCCCAAGCACAGAGCCCAGAACUAAAUUGUGAGGGUUUAAAAAAAAAAAAAGCUUUAUUGAAGUAUAAUUGACAUACAAUAAACUUGAAUAUUU
rnacentral:lncRNA from 10 species